UACGUAGGUGACAAGCGUUGUCCGGAUUUACUGGGCGUAAAGAGCGCGCAGGCGGUCGAUCAAGUCGAGUGUGAAAGCCCCCGGCUCAACUGGGGAGGGUCAUUCGAUACUGAUCGACUCGAAGGCAGGAGAGGGUAGUGGAAUUCCCGGUGUAGUGGUGAAAUGCGUAGAUAUCGGGAGGAACACCAGUGGCGAAGGCGACUACCCGGCCUGUUCUUGACGCUGAGGCACGAAAGCGUGGGGAGCAAACAGG
rnacentral:rRNA from 1 species